CCGGAAAUGUAGUAGGCAACAAAUUUUCAAAUAUGACUCCAUAACAGGAACAAGGAUAAAUGAGGGGCAAGCAGAAGUAAGGGUGAAAUGGUUACCUUGCUCUGCAUGUGGAAAAAUCUGGGAGGCGACAUGGGAGCCGGCCUGCCAGUUCCCACCAGGUGCCAACCAUGUGUGACGUCACCCAUUGGUCUGUGGAGAUCUGCUAUGAGUCGUCAAGUUUGCCGUUACGGGCGCAGCCAUC